rnacentral:rRNA from 1 species
UACGAAGGGGGCUAGCGUUGUUCGGAAUUACUGGGCGUAAAGCGCACGUAGGCGGAUCUUUAAGUUAGAGGUGAAAGCCUGGAGCUCAACUCCAGAACUGCCUUUGAUACUGGGGAUCUAGAGUUUGGAAGAGGUUGGUGGAACUCCUAGUGUAGAGGUGAAAUUCGUAGAUAUUAGGAAGAACACCAGUGGCGAAGGCGGCCAACUGGUCCAAUACUGACGCUGAGGUGCGAAAGCGUGGGGAGCAAACAGG